GUUUUCAAGGCACGGAAAGGUCGUGCCCGCCACAUGCAUCACAGCCCCGAUGACGGUGAUGGUAGCAUGCGUCUUCCAACCGAUGCGUGCACUUCCAUCGGGUCGAGAAGCAUGUGCUCCCGAAGCAUUAACCGUACGAGUGUGUGUGUAUGUGUAAAGUACAGUUUUAUUGUGAACAACUUCUAUCAGUAGUGCACGGCUGCCCGUCCCGGGAUUGGGACACGAUCGACGAUCGACGGGCUAAUCGCGUCGGAGGUAGGCAUCGGUUUUCACCUAUCGCGACCUUCGCCUGUGUGUUUGCCAUGCCGCGUCUGCCAUAAACGGUGGAAAGUGACUUCCAGCUGGUCCUCCACGGAUCUGGACAGCGGUCAUCGUCAGCAGUUCAGACAUGUGCCGUCGCGAGCUGCUGCCGUCAGCAGGGCACUGAUAAGGCGUGGACGAUAGAAAAAUGGACCAAAACAGUACCGAGCAGAUCCUCAUCUUCCCCGGUUGGCAGGGCAGCUCAAGGUCGACGCGUUAAAAAAUGUGCAUCGGUUACAGUUACUUGAUAUAAUGCAGGGUGUAUCGCGUAGAAGAAAGAAAAAAAAUCUCAAUUAUCAGCUGUUAUGAGUGCAUUAAUGAUUGCGCUCGUAAGCCCUGCACAUACUUAAGAAUUCAAAAGCUAUCCUUCUGCUUUGGUGUAGUGACAAGCUGAGCCUAUUCGAUCGGUAUAAUGGCUUAUCUUUUUCUUCUUCAGUGGCACAACAACUAGUGUUGCUCUGAGCCUAACCAAUUCGCUUGUGAAUGGGAUGCACUAUUAUCUGUCGCUUAAUCCACCUCUAAGGUACGUCUGAUCCGAACAGCAACCCAGUUGGAAAUUGAAUCACGUCCGUAUUAGUAAGAUCUAGAGCGUCUAUCAGAGCAUCUUAGGUUUAUCCCUUUGGUGGACUGACAUGAUCCAUAUUCUCUGGGUAGGCGUUAAACGAAAGUUUUGCUUUUUAAAGUAAAAUAAUAAUAUGAAAUAAAUAACAUAGCUUAUCGGUCAUGUGUAAGUCUCUUAAAGACGGAUUAAAUCUUAUCAUGGAAAACGGUUAUCAUUUCUUGUAUGUCUAAGUGUCGCGCUACAAUUUUGUGUUUGUUCCUAAAGUCGAACUACAACAUUUUUAAUUGGACGCAAACUACUAAAUUUAAUCAGAAAUUAUUGCAACCUAUGAAUUUAUAUUGCACAAUUUACGAACAUAAUAUAAUCUAACGCUAUUUUAAUGAUCAUUUUAAUUAUUCUAAUUUCUAAUCGGUUACAAAUUAUUGUAGUACAUACUAAAUGUUGAAAAACCUCUAAAUAAUGCUCACUAAACGUAAGAUAUAUAUCCCAUCUAACUGGCAAUAACCUUAAUUGACUAGAUUUAUACGAUUUGUACGAUAUAAAUUAAAAUAAAUUUAUAAGUAUACCAUUAAAUUAAA